AUGGAGGCAGCUGGAAGGACCACACACCCCCACGGACAGAUUUGGAGCUGCAGCUCGAGGAGCAGCCAGUCCCCAGAGUAUCGUUCCGUGCAGGCGGCCAUCCCAGCUCCAGCCAAAUCCCACCCACCCUCCGAGGUGUGGCACUGGGAAAGAGAAAGGGGAGAAAGAAGAAAAGCAAACAGCCCUGGUACGAGCUCCUUCCCUCUGCUCGGGUUUCACAGCACCCAGGUCCAGACCCAGCAGCUCUCAGUAUGUGGGAGCCACCUGCCCUACCCCUCAGAUGGUCAUGUCACUGUGUGUAUGUUCUAACCACUGCCUUUAGUACAUAAAAUAACAUAUAUAUGUUAAAAAAAUAUAUAUUUAAUUUAUUAAACCAGAAGCAGUGUAAAGCAUAAGUGCCAAAUUCUGAUUUUAUUCCCAGGAGAACCAGUCACAC
rnacentral:lncRNA from 1 species